AAUAUAUAUAAAUUGUUCUUGAAGCUGCUGUGGAGAAAAAUAACAAACGACUCACAUAUAAUGUGAUGUGUGUCUGUGUGUAUGUACAUGCAGGUAUGUGAUUAUUUGGUGAAGUAUAGAAUGGAGAAGCGCAUACACUUAUUGUUCAACGGAGCGAAAGCCUAUGUGUGCAAAUAUGUCUUGAUGUACUUGCAUCAAUAUGGCGAUCGGUUAAAUUUUUAGCGAAAAAAUAAAUCGGAUUGGAGUUGCCGGAAUUUUGGCAAUGGACAAGUUGAGAUCCACCGAUGCUUGCUGGGGCGAACUUGAUAUAAAAGCUGUUGUAAGAGAUCCGGCUCGAAGGACCAAAUGUUGUAGUAGGGCGUCCGCAGGGCUUCCAGAAUAUAUAUUACAUUGUUAGUGUAAGUGUGGUGAAUUUCAUUUUCCUUGUUUCAAUACCGGAGUUACAUGGGCACUUGGAUGGCGACGGCUAGAUACACUUCUUGUGUGAACAAUAAGUAUAACUGAUAUAUCAUCUCGCACGAAAUAAAAUACAUCCACAAUCCUAAUAUAAUUGUCCAAAUAUAUUUAAGAAAAAACAAA